rnacentral:rRNA from 1 species
CUACGGGAGGCAGCACGGGGGGAAUAUUGUGCAAUGGGGGCAACCCUGACGCAGCAAUGCCGCGUGAGUGAAGAAGGCCUUCGGGUCGUAAAGCUCUUUCAUGGGGGAAGAUGAUGACGGUACCCCAUGAAUAAGCCCCGGCUAACUACGUGCCA